CCAACUAGCUUCAAAUUUUCAACUGCCAUCGAAAAAAAGACAAACGAAGCCCACGUGUCCGGGCAGUGCUAGGCAUCGAAACGCCCGAGUGAUCAAACUAUAUCAAAAUCGCUGAUCACACAGCUCUUUCAUCGAAACCCUAAACCUUUGAUCAAUCAUCGAUCGAGCGGAGAAGAAUGAGUGAAGAAGGUGGAAAGAUGAACAGAGACACAGCUGCUCCGGCAACGGCGAUCGCCGUCUCCGGCGAGCCAUUGCUUGCAAAUUAUUGCUACGGGACAUUUCAAGGAGUCGCCAGUUAUCAAUCUCCUCCUCCUUUACAAUCUCAUCCGGUCUUCGGUUUCCCUCAACCCAUACCUCCUCCUGCUGUCUGCGCCGUUCCGCCUUGUUACUUUCCUCAUGGUUAUCAAACCGUUCAAGGUUAUGCUGUUGCUGAAGGUAGACCAAUAAGGGAACAUCGGCUUCCGUGUUGUGGUAUGGGGAUUGGCUGGUUCUUGUUCAUUAUUGGUUGCUUUCUUGGUGCCAUUCCCUGGUACAUUGGAGCUUUUCUUCUUUUGUGUGUUCGGCUCGAUUACAGAGAAAAACCUGGAUUUAUUGCAUGCACCUUAGCAAACCACUCUUAGAAGAGUAGAUUCUCUGGCCUUCUUGCUGAUCUUGGUCAUGUGCUUGAACCUCGAAGCGGUUGCCCAAUGCUCGAGUAAUUGCUCCUAUUCUCAGAAAAAAGUGUGCUAGACUUUCGUGACAUGAGGAUCAGAUUUUUGUAAAAUUCGAGAAGAAAGCCAAGCACGUAUUCAUUUACUUGUUCUUGAAAGCUCGUACCAAGAAUAAGAAGCCUAGGUGGGUUUUACCUAGAGCAGUUACUCGGGCGACUGAUCCGAGGUUCAAGUAGAUGGCUGAGAUCGUCAAGAAGGCCCGAGCAUCUACACAGGGGCUCAGAGCUAGGGAAAUGCGAGGAGGAAAUUGGCUACGCUUGCUUUGGUUGCUAUGACACUUGGUGCGACAAAGGCAAGUUAUUUGUGUUUGUAUAUAGAAGAUAUUGAUCGAGUGAUGCUUAUACAUGAUAUAUGCACUCUUCUGGCAAUGCAAUUCUAAGUUUGUCUUCA